rnacentral:rRNA from 1 species
AUGGCCAAGUCAUAUGUAUGCCAUGGUGGUUGCAUGUGUGUUGCAAAUGAUGGAGGUCCAGCUGAGCACAUGAUUGUUGAUGAUGAGGAUGCGGGAGACCAGGGCGCUGCUGCAGAGGGGUCCAACAUUGAGUCGGAUGACGAGUUCCUAAAUGAUGAACAUGAGGAAGUACCUCCUCCACUAGUUGUUUACACAAAGGGUAUUGUUCUAAGUGAUGAUGAAGGAUCAAAGUUGGGUUUGGUUCUUACCAUCAAUUAUGGGUACAUUGGAUCUCCUUUCGUGCGCCGUCUCACAAUCACAAACGUUGCAAGCAAGCAGAUGGUAAAUGUGUUUUCAACCUGA